rnacentral:lncRNA from 1 species
GCUUUCCAAUAAAUUCUUACAAUGUCACCUAAUGGGGGAUAACAGCAAUGGUUGCACUCUUCCACUCUUCCACCAGAAAUCUUCCAGUGGAGCAGAUUUCAAUUGACAGCAUUCCUGGAGGGUCACUCUGACAGCAAACCAUUAGAGCAAAACAGGAUUGAGCCUGGGAGAGGUGCCACUUUCUGGGACUCUCAGUUUUCCUUUCUCAUGUGAUACAGAACGCAAUGAUGUAAAUGCAAUGAAGCCUGACUGUUCCUUACAUGGCUAGUGAAUAGCUCAUUCCUCUGAACCCUAAUCAAAUGAUUUUUGAAUCUUCAUCAACUUUGUGUUCAACCUCUAAGUGUUCUCAGUGUUGAUCUCUAGUACCCAAUGCAUUACAGUGGAAAUUAUUUGGAAUAUUUAGAAGCAUUUUAACAAUCAUCUGGUCAUUUUUUCACAUUGUGAAACCUCAAAUCCAUCUGAGU